GCCUCGGUGGUUUCGUGGUAGAGCACGCGUCCCCGGAUAGGAUGAAACGCGGGUUCGAUUCCCGCCCGAGGCC